rnacentral:rRNA from 1 species
GAUCCUGGCUCAGGGUGAACGCUGGCGGCGCGCCUAACACAUGCAAGUCGAACGGACGAUGAAAAGCUUGCUUUUCAAAGUUAGUGGCGGACGGGUGAGUAACGCGUGGGUAACCUGCCUCAUACAGGGGAAUAGCAGCUGGAAACGGCUGAUAAAACCGCAUAAGCGCACGGUGCCGCAUGGCACAGUGUGAAAAACUCCGGUGGUAUGAGAUGGACCCGCGUCUGAUUAGCUGGUUGG